rnacentral:rRNA from 1 species
UACGUAGGAGGCGAGCGUUGUCCGGAAUUACUGGGCGUAAAGAGCGCGUAGGCGGCGCGGUACGACCGCUGUGAAAGCCCCCCAGCUCAACUGGGGAGGGUCAGCGGUACGGCCGUGCUAUGAGUGCAGGAGAGGGAAGUGGAACUCCGGGAGUAGCGGUGAAAUGCGUAGAGACCCGGAGGAACACCAGUGGCGAAGGCGGCU